AUUGAACGCUGGCGGCAGGCCUAACACAUGCAAGUCGAGCGGAGCGGCGGACGGGUGCGUAAUGCCCAGGAAUCUGCCUGGUAGUGGGGGAUAACGUCCGGUAACGGGCGCUAAUACCGCAUCUUAUCAGAUGAGCCUAGGUCGGAUUAGUGAGUUGGUGGGGUAAAGGCCUACCUAGGCGACGAUCCGUAACUGGUCUGAGAGGAUGAUCAGUCACACUGGAACUGAGACACGGUCAAGACUCCUACGGGAGGCAGCAGUGGGGAAUAGUGGACAAUGGGCGAAAGCCUGAUACAGCCAUGCCGCGUGUGUGAAGAAGGUCUUCGGAUUGUAAAGCACUUUAAGUUGGGAGGCGUUACCAGCAGAAUAAGCACCGGCUAACUUCGUGCCAGCAGCCGCGGUAAUUC
rnacentral:rRNA from 1 species